UGUCCUUUUGCUUUUCUUAGGAAUGAGCUUUGUGCAAAACAGCAAUUCAGAUAAUGAACUGAAGCUUGACCAGGCCCUGCUCUCUGUCAACAAUUACCUCCCUGAACGAAUUGUUGCUUUCUAUGUCUCUGAAGCCUGCUACAAAUGUCUGCCGCAGCCUCUCCUCACGGUUUCACCGACUUCCAUGGGAGCGCCUUCA